rnacentral:rRNA from 1 species
UACGUAGGGAGUAAGCGUUGUUCGGAAUUACUGGGCGUAAAGGGUGUGUAGGCGGGAGCGCAAGUUGGGGGUGAAAUCUACGGGCUCAACUCGUAAACUGCCCUCAAAACUGCGUUUCUUGAGUAUGGGAGAGGAGUCUGGAAUUCCCAGUGUAGGGGUGAAAUCUGUAGAUAUUGGGAAGAACAUCAGUGGCGAAGGCGAGACUCUGGCCUGAUACUGACGCUGAGACACGAAAGCGUGGGGAGCAAACAGG